UACGUAGGGUGCGAGCGUUGUCCGGAAUUAUUGGGCGUAAAGGGCUCGUAGGCGGUUUGUCGCGUCGGGAGUGAAAACUCAGGGCUUAACCCUGAGCCUGCUUCCGAUACGGGCAGACUAGAGGUAUGCAGGGGAGAACGGAAUUCCUGGUGUAGCGGUGAAAUGCGCAGAUAUCAGGAGGAACACCGGUGGCGAAGGCGGAUCUCUGGGCCUGUCCUGACGCUGAGGCGCGAAAGCUAGGGGAGCGAACAGG
rnacentral:rRNA from 1 species